UCUGCUCAAUGAUUUUUUAAAUUGCUGUGGUAUUUUGACUAUACAAAGGUAUUGAAAUAAGAUUUUAAUUGAAUGCUAAGAGAAUGGAAUAUCAAAAAACAACUUUCUUAAAAUUAAAAAUUGAAAUUUUUUUAAUUUGUGUAAAAACAAUUAUAAAAAUUAAAGACAAGAAGACCCUAAGAAUUUUUAAAAUUUAAAUAAUACAUUUUUUGUUUUAAUUAAAUUUUAACUGGGGCGGUUAAAAAAUAUUAAAAACUUUUUAAUUUAAAAAUGACCCAUUAUUAAUGAAAAUAUGAUUAAAUACUCUAGGGAUAACAGCGUAAA
rnacentral:rRNA from 1 species